rnacentral:lncRNA from 1 species
UUUUUUCUGUUACUGCAGUAUCUUACACUGAUUGAUUUUCAUAUGUUGAACUAUCCUUGCAUUCCAGGAAUAAAUCCCACAUCAUCAUGUGUAUAAUCCUUUUAAUAUGCUGUUGAAUUUGGUUUACUAGUAUUUUGUUGAGAAUUUUAAUAUUAAUAUUUAUAAGGACUAUAGAUCUGUAAUUUUCUUGUAUAUCUUCGGCUUUGAUAUCAGGCUAAUGCUGGGCUUGUAGAAAUAUUUAAGAAAUAUUCCUUCCUUUUCAGAUUUUAAGAAGAAUUUGAGAAGGGUUUGUGUUAAUUCUGAAAUGUUUGGUAGAUUCACCAACAAAGCUAUCUUGUCCUCUUGUCCUGCUCUCUUCUUCAUUGGGAGGUUCCGAGUCAUUCUUUUUUUUUUUUUGCUUUUCAGGGCCACACCCAUGGCAUAUGGAGCGGCCCAAAGAAAUAGCAAAAAAUUAAAAAAAUAAAUAAAUAAAAUAAAUCAAUGCCUUAAAAAAAAAAAAAAAGAAAACAUUUCCCUAUAUUUGAACCCAGGAGAUGUCUCUGCUAUGACUCUUAUUCUGCCCUAGGAGCCAAACAGAGCAAGAAGAAACACUUUCCACAGAUCUACUCUUCAAAUAUUUGGGGGUUAGGACUCAUAUCUUUUGGAGACUCUGCCUGUUUCACCAUUUUCAAUUUCUCCCCCUUCCCUGAACUAAUGAACCAGCCAAACCCAAACUCAUCAUAGCCUCCAGGGUCCCACAGAACCGGGGCCCUGCCCACCCUGCCAACCUCAGCUCACACGCUUCUCUUUUGGGCUCACCUCGCUUCAGCUACACAGCCUCUUUUCUGUUGGGCAACACUGCCAAGCUCUUCCCUGCCUUCUCUUCAGCUCCGUGACUAGAGGGCUUAUGGAUGCUCGGGCAGAUCCCUGACCCUCACCGAGGUCUCCCUGGUAGAUAAAGUCCCUGACUACUCAUAGAAUCUCCCAGAUCCCCCAGGUGGCAUGGAUGGCAGCAGGGCAGCUGGAGUGGGGACCCAGACUUGGCUGGCCCAUGGCAUCUGAAUUGAGGGAAAAACGGAAAGAGGUCAAAAAGGGAGAGAACCAGAGGUGACUUUUCCACCUCGCCCUGUCUGGAAGCAUCUCACCCACCCCUGGUCCACUCCAGGGUCCCACAUGUGAGACAGUGCUGGUGUCUCCCUAUGGUGUGCCCUCUCUCCACUGAGUGGUCCCCGCCCCCAGGCUUGCCUUUGUCCCUUUGUCCAGGGCCCAUGCUCCUCCUCUUUUGGUUUCUCAGCGUCCUCAUGCUUCCAUCCCAAGCUGAGCUGGCCCAGGAGACAGCCAUUGCAUGAGAGCCUUGGGGACAGUGUGGCAGGUGUGACUCUGGGACCCUGGCUCUUGCCUCAGCUAAAGCUUGAGGGAGCUUCCCACUUGAUGGGAAGGUAGGAGGCUCAAGCAUGGGGGUGUGGAGGUGGGGCGGUCAGCCAGAGGCUAAGAUAUGGCUGCUUAUCCUGGGGAUCCACCCACCAGCCAUGUGUGCCACCCAGGCAAGUCCUCUCUGGCCCUAUCACGCCCAUGUGUGAAAGGGGAUCCAGCUGAGUCGUCUCUGGGACCCCCUCAGCUCUGACAUCCUGAGUCUCCGGGCCCAGGAGCUGGGACAUUGAGUGGUCCCUGGCUGAGCCCUCCCCGCCUCAGUGCUCCCAGAGCCCCUCCCCCCCAGCAGUCCCCUUCCACACUGCCCCGCCCCCGAGUCCCAUCCAUCCUCCUCUCCGCUGUAGCUGCUGCUUAACCUCCACAGGGGGCCGAGGAGCC